rnacentral:misc_RNA from 1 species
GGGAUGCAAUGGUGAAAGACCUGGCAGAAGCGAAGGGUUUCUGAGCUUUAGUGGGAGGCUUUGCUGUACUCGCCUCUGCAGGCACAAUUGGUGUAACGAUGACCUCCGCUGAAGGUAGAGGAGGUGAUGAAGGGGGUGGAGGAGGAGGAGGAGGAGGCAAUGGUGGUGGUAGAGGUGGAGGGGGAGGGGGCAUGACAAACGAAUCUACUCUGCUCAUAUCUAUUUCAUAAUCAUCCCGCUUUGGUAUUCUGGGCAUAGUUCUCUCCUGCACAGUUUGUGGCUUUGGAUGAUCCUCCUUUGGCCGUACCCUAGCCUCCUUUGGAACUUUUUCUGUUUCCUUAGCUGGUUGGACCAAGGACUCAUGAUCCCUUGGAUUCUCUCGGUUGCCUUUAUACGCAUCAACUUGAUGCCGCUCGAAAAUUCUGCUGGCCUGCUCUCUUCUUCUGCUACAUUUUGGCAUAAAAAGCACUAGUCCUAAUGCCAAAAUUACAAACGACAAUACACCAGCAAUUGAUAUCCAAACUAUUUUUUUGGUAGAUUUUUUUCCUCCAGAACUAGAUUCCUCAGAUGAAGAUGGCCCAUCAACCUGUUUGCCAGGUGUUUUCCCAGAUGAGGGUGAAGUUGGAGCUCCAGGAAGCCCUGGUGCUGGUGGUGGUGUCAGUGGGGAUGUUGGUGAAGGUAAUGGGACAGAUGUAUCAUUGAAUGGGUUCCCGUCUGUUCUGAGAUUUGGGAUGGUCAGCAUCUUCUCAGGUAUGGGUCCUGAGAACAAGUUAUUCUCUAUGUUCAAAUCUUUCAAGGGAAGAUCUUGUAGAACAUCAAGGGUCCCAGACAGCCGAUUUUCCUGCAAACGUAAGGUUGUAAGAUGAAUCAAAUUUUGAAAAGAAGCAGGCAAUUGCCCACUCAAAUUGUUACU